UACGUAGGGGGCAAGCGUUGUCCGGAAUCACUGGGCUUAAAGGGCGCGUAGGCGGGUUCCCAAGUCGGUGGUGAAAUCUUUCGGCCCAACCGGAAAACAGCCGCCGAUACUGGGAGUCUUGAGGGAGGUAGGGGUCGAUGGAACUUCCGGUGGAGCGGUGAAAUGCGUAGAUAUCGGAAGGAACGCCGGUGGCGAAAGCGAUCGACUGGACCUUUUCUGACGCUGAGGCGCGAAAGCCAGGGGAGCAAACGGG
rnacentral:rRNA from 1 species